rnacentral:rRNA from 1 species
GACGAACGCUGGCGGCGUGCUUAACACAUGCAAGUCGUACGGUAAGGCCCUUUCGGGGGUACACGAGUGGCGAACGGGUGCGUAACACGUGAGUAACCUGCCCACAACUUUGGGACAACGCUAGGAAACUGGUGCUAAUACUGGAUAUGUGCUCCUGCUGCAUGGUGGGGGUUGGAAAGCUCCGGCGGUUUUGGAUGGGCUCGCGGCCUAUCGUCUUGUUGGUGGGGUAGUGGCCUACCAAGGCGGCGACGGGUAGCCGGACUGAGAGAGUGACCGGCCACAUUGGGACUGAGAUACGGCCCAGACGCCUACGGGAGGCAGCAGUGCGGAAUAUUGCACAAGGGGCGCAGGCCUGAUGCAGCAACGCCGCGUGCGGGAUGACGGCCUUCGGGUUGAAAACCGCAUUCAGAAGGGACGAAGCUUUUUGUGACGGUACCUGCAGAAGAAGCACCGGCUAACUACGUG